rnacentral:rRNA from 1 species
AAUCAACGCUGGCGGCGUGCCUCAGACAUGCAAGUCGAACGAGAAAGUUUCCUUCGGGAGACGAGUACAGUGGCGUCCGGGUGAGUAACACGUGGGUAAUUUACCUUUGGGUGGGAGUAGCAGCCGGAACGGACGUAUUAAUACCGCAUAAUGCAGCGGCUCGACAUCGAGACAGUUGUUAAAGUACGGGGAGUCUGACAAGG